UACAGAGGGUGCGAGCGUUAAUCGGAAUUACUGGGCGUAAAGCGCACGUAGGCGGCUUUGCAAGUCAGGUGUGAAAUCCCCGGGCUUAACCUGGGAACUGCAUUUGAGACUGCAUUGCUAGAGUGUGUCAGAGGGGGGUAGAAUUCCACGUGUAGCAGUGAAAUGCGUAGAUAUGUGGAGGAAUACCGAUGGCGAAGGCAGCCCCCUGGGAUAACACUGACGCUCAUGCACGAAAGCGUGGGGAGCAAACAGG
rnacentral:rRNA from 1 species